rnacentral:rRNA from 1 species
GUGUAAGACUUUUUAACUUUUAGGUUAAGUUAAUAAGGGCGCACGGUGAAUGCCUUGGCACUAGGAGUCGACGAAGGACGGCACUAACACCGAUAUGCUUCGGGGAGCUGUAAGUGAGCUUUGAUCCGGAGAUUUCCGAAUGGGGAAACCCACUGUUCGUAAUGGAGCAGUACAUUUGCGUGAAUACAUAGCGCAUCUGAGACACACCCAGGGAACUGAAACAUCUAAGUACCUGGAGGAAGAGAAAGAAAAAUCGAUUCCCUGAGUAGCGGCGAGCGAAACGGGAAUAGCCCAAACCAAGAGGCUUGCCUCUUGGGGUUGUAGGACACUCUACAUAGAGUUACAAAGGAAUGAGUUAGACGAAGCGAUCUGGAAAGGUCCGCAGGAUAGGGUAAAAGCCCCGUAGUCCAAAAUUCAUUCUCUCUUGAGUGUAUCCUGAGUACGGCGGAACACGUGAAAUUCCGUCGGAAUCCGGGAGGACCAUCUCCCAAGGCUAAAUACUACCUAGUGACCGAUAGUGAACCAGUACCGUGAGGGAAAGGUGAAAAGCACCCCGGAAGGGGAGUGAAAUAGAUCCUGAAACCGUGUGCCUACAAGUAGUUAGAGCCCGUUAAUGGGUGAUAGCGUGCCUUUUGUAGAAUGAACCGGCGAGUUACGAUUACAUGCAAGGUUAAGUUGAGAAGACGGAGCCGCAGCGAAAGCGAGUCUGAAUAGGGCGAAUGAGUAUGUGGUCGUAGACCCGAAACCAGGUGAUCUACCCAUGUCCAGGAUGAAGGUAAGGUAACACUUACUGGAGGUCCGAACCCACGCACGUUGAAAAGUGCGGGGAUGAGGUGUGGGUAGCGGAGAAAUUCCAAUCGAACCUGGAGAUAGCUGGUUCUCUCCGAAAUAGCUUUAGGGCUAGCCUCAAACGUUAGAAUCUUGGAGGUAGAGCACUGUUUGGACUAGGGGCCCAUCCCGGGUUACCGAAUUCAGACAAACUCCGAAUGCCAAUGAUUUAUGUUUGGGAGUCAGACUGCGAGUGAUAAGAUCCGUAGUCAAGAGGGAAACAGCCCAGACCACCAGCUAAGGUCCCAAAGUAUUUGUUAAGUGGAAAAGGAUGUGGCGUUGCUUAGACAACCAGGAUGUUGGCUUAGAAGCAGCCAUCAUUUAAAGAGUGCGUAAUAGCUCACUGGUCGAGUGACGCUGCGCCGAAAAUGUAUCGGGGCUAAACAAAUCACCGAAGCUGUGGAUUGAUACC